GACGAACGCUGGCGGCGUGCUUAACACAUGCAAGUCGAACGGAAAGGCCCUGCUUUUGUGGGGUGCUCGAGUGGCGAACGGGUGGGUAACACGUGAGUAACCUGCCCUUGACUUUGGGAUAACUUCAGGAAACUGGGGCUAAUACCGGAUAGGAGCUCCUGCUGCAUGGUGGGGGUUGGAAAGUUUCGGCGGUUGGGGAUGGACUCGCGGCUUAUCAGCUUGUUGGUGGGGUAGUGGCUUACCAAGGCUUUGACGGGUAGCCGGCCUGAGAGGGUGACCGGCCACAUUGGGACUGAGAUACGGCCCAGACUCCUACGGGAGGCAGCAGUGGGGAAUAUUGCACAAUGGGCGGAAGUCUGAUGCAGCAACGCCGCGUGCGGGAUGACGGCCUUCGGGUUGUAAACCGCUUUCGCCUGUGACGAAGCGUGAGUGACGGUAAUGGGUAAAGAAGCACCGGCUAACUACGUG
rnacentral:rRNA from 1 species